rnacentral:rRNA from 1 species
AUGGAGUCCGUCGCGAUCGCCACCACCUCCCGCGCCCUGCCGCCGCGGUUCCCCUCCGCCGCUCCCCGGCGCCGGCGCCGCGCCGCCUCCUUCGCCCCGGUCGCGGCCGCCUCCAAGCGGAGAGACGGCGGCGAGGGGGAGGACGCCGGAGCCGGGUCCAGGCGGUCUUCGUCUUCGGGGAGCGCCGCCGGGCGCGGCGAGCCCGCCGGCCUCGCGCCGUACGGGCUCUCCCUCUCGCCCUUCUCCAAGGACGCGGCCAUGGGGCUGGUGAUGAGCGCGGCGACAGGGAGCGGCUGGACGACGGGGUCGGGGAUGGAGGGCCCGCCGACGGCCGGCGGCGCCGCGAACCGGCCGGAGGUGUCGACGCUGCCGUGGUCGCUCUUCACAAAGUCCCCGCGGCGGCGGAUGCGGGUGGCCUUCACCUGCAACGUCUGCGGGCAGCGCACCACGCGCGCCAUCAACCCGCACGCCUACACCGACGGCACUGUCUUCGUUCAGUGCUGCGGCUGCAACAUCUUCCACAAGCUGGUGGACAACCUGAACCUGUUCCACGAGAUGAAGUGCUACGUUGGCCCCGACUUCCGGUACGAGGGGGACGCCCCGUUCAACUACCUCGACGGCGGCGAUGAUGAUGACGGCGGCAACAUCUUUCCGCUUCUCUAG